rnacentral:rRNA from 1 species
GAUGAACGCUGGCGGCGUGCCUAAUACAUGCAAGUCGAGCGAACAGACGAGGAGCUUGCUCCUCUGACGUUAGCGGCGGACGGGUGAGUAACACGUGGAUAACCUACCUAUAAGACUGGGAUAACUUCGGGAAACCGGAGCUAAUACCGGAUACUAUAUUGAACCGCAUGGUUCAAUAGUGAAAGACGGUUUUGCUGUCACUUAUAGAUGGAUCCGCGCCGCAUUAGCUAGUUGGUAAGGUAACGGCUUACCAAGGCAACGAUGCGUAGCCGACCUGAGAGGGUGAUCGGCCACACUGGAACUGAGACACGGUCCAGACUCCUACGGGAGGCAGCAGUAGGGAAUCUUCCGCAAUGGGCGAAAGCCUGACGGAGCAACGCCGCGUGAGUGAUGAAGGUCAUCGGAUCGUAAAACUCUGUUAUUAGGGAAGAACAAAUGUGUAAGUAACUAUGCACGUCUUGACGGUACCUAAUCAGAAAGCCACGGCUAACUACGUG